UACGGAGGGUGCGAGCGUUGUCCGGAAUCACUGGGCGUAAAGGGCGCGUAGGCGGCAGGCCAAGUGUGCGGUGAAAGUCCGGGGCUCAACCCCGGAUCGGCCGUGCGGACUGGUUUGCUAGAGCACUGUAGAGGCGAGUGGAAUUCCGGGUGUAGCGGUGGAAUGCGUAGAGAUCCGGAAGAACACCGGUGGCGAAGGCGGCUCGCUGGGCAGUGGCUGACGCUGAGGCGCGACAGCGUGGGGAGCAAACAGG
rnacentral:rRNA from 1 species